rnacentral:misc_RNA from 1 species
CCUUUCUACGGAGAGUUCAGGACGCGGUUCGUGUCCGGUGUGUGCCCCAUGCGCGUGGAACGGUUCCACGGCCCGUGUGGGGAUGCUGGUGUGGAAGAGAUCGUUGGCUUGGACGGGCCUGUCCCGUCCGGGAGUGGUAUGGGUGUGCUUUUGGGUUCCCGGACCGCCACCCCACAGUCUUGGAUUGUGGUGCGGUUCGAUGCCCAUGCGGGGUGGCCGGCGUCCGUUGGACGCGUGGCGGAACGUGUGGCGCGUGGCGGUUUGAGAACUGGAUAGUGGACGCGAGCAAGGGAAACAUGGUGUUUCCCUUUGCUUAUCGCGAUUUCGCCAAACUCUUCUUUUUGAGUUUGGUUUCGAGAUCGAUCGUUUUGUGAUCAUUUGAACAGUGCGAUGAUUUGUCGUCUGGCAAUCUUGCUAUCAGGAAAGCCGCGGGAUGGCACGGCCGUUGGCUG